UUAAAAUAAUCGCGCGCGCGACAAUAAUAACGAUUGUUAAUCGUUUUAUAAAUAUUAUUGUUAUCAAUGUUGAAUAUUAUUAUUAUUAUUAAAAUCGUUACCGCGCCGCCGCGUUAUCGUCGUCGACAACAAACGCGCGCUCGCGCAAUCGAAAUAUUAUGUUAUACGACGGCGGUGGAUUUUUAUCCCUCUCUCUCUCUCUCACUCUCACUCUCUCUCUCUCUCUCUAUCUUUCUUUCUCUCUCUCAAUAAAAACCGCGCGCGCGUAUUAUAUUAUUAUGUACCUCGCGUAACAGCGUAUGCGAUGAUAAAAAAAAAAAAAAAAAAAAAAAAAAAAAAAAUAACAAAACAAAACGAAACGAAACGAACGCUAUUUCGACCUAUUUGAAACGGGUUGGAAAAAAAACUAAAAAAAAUAAAUAAUAAUUUCCGCUGAAUACUCGAUAAAACGCGUUUCACAACAAGCGCGCGCGGCGUCGUCGAAUGUUUUCGAAAUCCGAAAUCGUUUCUGUCGAAUCCGUAAAAUUUGUUUGUAUUCUUCCCCACCCCGAACCCGGCGUUACGACGUCCAUAAUAAACCGAUGAUGCGACACAAUCGCGCCCAGAUUUCCGACGAACCAGGCCGCUAAGCAGCAAAAUCCGCGUCGCGACAUUCUUAUCGCACCUACUGAUAUUUCGGUGGAAAAAAAAAAAAAACACAAAACAAAACACUAAAGAUACCCGGCGACGUUUCCCGAGACGAUUUUAUUAUUCGCGGGACGUCGAGUUCUCGACACGACCCGGUCCCGAGGUCGUUCCGGGCGC